GCCUCUGACUCAUUAAAGUUGAAGUUCUGCUGCUGUGAUGGUGGUGGGGCAAUUGAGGAAGGACUUUCAGACAUCUCUAUGAAGGAAAAUCUUUCUCUGACAAAAGGAGCUCACGGCGAUUUAUGGCUGAAGUCCCAGGUAAGGUAAUCUCCUGUCCUCAUGCAACAAUUUCUUUGCACUAGCAAGAAAAUGAUCCCUAGGCCCCUCGAGCCACCAAUAUUCUUUUAUUUUAUUUUUUUUUCUUUUUCUACUUGACCUCCAAAACUGCAGCAACAAUUUUCUGAAUCAUUCAUCCUUUAAUUUUGCGACAUAGAUCUCUCUAGUACCUUCAUCACACAGUUAAUUUUCAAUGUUUACUUUUUUUUCUAAUUAAACGAUAGUAUGAGACAAUAA